rnacentral:misc_RNA from 1 species
AAUAAUCUCCACAACCCAAAAUAGCAGAACGCAAAUUUCCCGGGUCUUGGAUUAGGCUCACCCAUUUGGAAAGUAAAAAAAUCAAGACGUUGAUUGAUGCAGAAAAUGAUCUAUUAGUUUUGUUAUUUUUCCGUUGAGCAAAAGUGAAAAGUUUGUGAGUUAUCGAAAUGAAUCCAGCACCUGUAACAUCGAGGCCAAUCGUUGGCGAUUCUACAAGUGGUGUAGCGACACCUUUACCACCUCCUGCACCACCGGCUCCGCUAGUUCGUCCGCUCUAUGCUAAACCAAUAGUUGCACCCCAUAUUCAAGACCUACCAACUAAACCACCUUUGCCACCGGGACAACAGUUUGCAACCCACAACUUCAAAACCCACCAAUAUCCAGUCAACACACCAGCAGCGGUUUAUUACCAACCUGGACCGCGUCAAAUAAUAAUGAGUCAGGAUGGAUCAGGAUUUCAGCGGCCACCAAAUCCGUCUGCAUCACCGCAAAAUAUGCGUCCCAUGGCACCAUCGCCGAUGAAUCGACCGGGUGGUCCUGGGCCACGCCCGCCCGCACCGGGAUCACCUGCCCCUAGUCAGUACCCCAACAUGAGACCCCAAAUGCCAUCUCCACAACCCGGUAUGCAGCGUCCGAUCUUGAACCAGAAUAUGCGUCCAACUACUCCGCAGCAAGUUCGGGCUCCCAACAUGAUGCCACAGAAUGCCAGACCCCCAUUCUCACCACAGAAUUCUAUCGCGGGAAGCAAUCCCCAAAUAAGACCGGGACCACCGCCGAUUCGUCCUCCAGGAGUCGGUCCUCCAAUGAAUCAACCCGGGAUGAUGUCUAUGCAGCAGAAUCGUCCAGCACCAAUCCCUCAACAGAUCAUAAACAAUCGUCCUCCGGCGAUGCCUUUCAAAUCCCCUGUUCAGGGCUUAAAUCCCGGGGAGACUUACGAACGAGAGUCACCUGAAGCAUUGAGUCGAAUGCAAUCCGACCUUAGCAUUGGAAAAGUUGACAGUCCCAAGAGUAGUUAUUUAUCUACAGAUGACGAUGAAGAUGUUGUUAUUGGCAAGAUAACUCCUUUGGCUUCGUCAAGAUCCCCGGACAAUCAAAUUAGCCCUACGAUAAAAACUGCGCCGUCGGUUCCGUUCCACAGAUCUGACAGUCAGAUGUCGAUUCCAUCUAGACCACCAUCUGGCAUGGGAAAUUAUGGAAAACUACCGGAUGCAGCACUGAAAACCUCUCAUUCUCCGUCACCAGCAGUCCAAUCAAAUGAAAUUGUCUACAAGGAAAAGCACAUGAUAUCACCUGAAAAGCCCCUAAACGGAAUUGGAGCUGCAGAACGCAUGAAAACUCCUUCACCCGAGCAGGGAAAAUAUGUGAACAUCGACCAGGUCAAGCCUUCUAGUCGGACACCGUCAACGGACAACAUGAACCGCCCGAACAAACCGAUGGAUCUGCCGUCGUCACCUCGUCCACAGGUGGCAGCACCACAGCAACAACCUCCCUCGGCGGUCUCAAUGGCCGCGAAACCUGGCAAACCAUCACAGGCCACUCCGACCACACCCGGAACAGAGCGAGUAACUUUUGUUUUGCCCGAAGAAACAAACAGUGUACCAAACUCAGAACCAUUGCGGAAGACACCCGUUCCGCCGAACAUUCUUAAAAAGCCCGACGCGGAAACGCGUGGCCGCAGCCCUUUUAAGAAUCACCUCUCCGUGGAGCGCAAUUAUUCGCCCGUAGAUAACAAAGGUGACAAUGACAGUGGAGUGGAUGAAUCAACUCAAGAAAAAGAACGAAAUGGUCCAACUUCUCCAGUAUCACCAGUGAAAUCACCCAGCAAAAUACCGUCACUGCGAAGACCAGAAAGUAUCACUCCCCAUAGCCGUUCCAGAAGCACAUCGAAGCAACGACUAACGGCCAAAACUCCAGAAACUCCAACCGAACCUUUGAUCAAAAAAAUACCAAUGAAUAAGAUUCAGGUCGGUGCUACUCCGUCGCCCAAUCUGAAGGUUGUUCGGUCCAAGAUUGGCUCGCUGGAAAAUGCAACCCACAAGCCGGGCGGUGGAAACGUUAAGAUAGAAACGAAAAAAAUUGAAAUUAAAGCUGGGUCCAGAAUCGAAGCCAAAAACGAGCACUACGUCCCGAAGGGUGGUGAUAAGAAGAUCAUCACAACCAAGCUGCAGUGGAACGCGAAACCCAAGAUUGGUUCGCUCGAAAAUGCCACCCACAAGCCAGGUGGUGGUGACAAACGGAUUGAGGUACUCAAAACGGACUUCAAGGAGCGUGCCCGACCCAAAGUGGGCUCGAAGGACAACUUGGGCUACCAGCCGGGUGGCGGCGAUGUUAAGCCUGGAAGUACCACCAUUGUUGAACAAAACAAAAGAGUCAUUAUCAAUCAAAAGCUGGAUAUCAAGGCGGAGAGCAAGGUGGGAUCGCUCGAAAACGUCAAGCACAAACCAGGAGGUGGCGAUAAGAAGAUCUUUGAUGACAGGGAGUAUCUGAAGCAGAUUGAUCAUCCCAUAAUUCCAACACCACCAUCGCAGGAUUAUUUGUACAAGUUUUACUAAGGCACUUUUCAAUCAAAGUCCGAUCCAUGUACAGUAAGAGAAGACGAAAGUUCAACGAAUAGGUUAUAUUUUUCUCUAAUGGCUUAAGGCAAUACUUAAAAAUGAUUUCUCCUGUUCCCGAAUUCGACCAAAAUUCCUACUAUUAAAAAUAAUAUCACGAACUAUGAAAAUGAUGCCAAUACUGACUAAAAAGCUAUAUACACAUAUAAACAACUGCAAACUGUAAACUGUAUGAAUCAUGAUUGGUCCUGUUGAUUAGUUUUAAGUUUUUGUGUUGGAUAGGCGCUGAAAGAACACGAGCACACAAGUAAAACUUUGAUAGUAGCAAGCGCACCAAAUAGACAAAAAAAUGUGAACCGGUUAAGUUUUCCGAUUUGAUUUUGUCACCCGUUGAUAAAGAUUUGCCAUUUCACGUAAGUUGAGCUGAACAAGUGCUGAAAUGAAUGCUGCAAAUAAAUAUGCUAAUCGGCAUAACGAGACAGGCUCUGUUUGAGUGAAAUAUUCAAAAGACAGUUAAAUUUUUAUGUUGCAAUUGCGUCAUUUGUUGCCCUUAUUAGUAGAAAUUUUGCGUAAGGAACUAACUUUUCUUCGUAGAGUGUUUUCUAGUCGCAUCGUUGAUCAUAGAAAGUACCUAAGCAAAAGUAUGGAAACAUUUGACAAUUUCCUUUGAUGCUGAUGAUUAUAUUUCAUAAAUAUGAUUGUAACGAAAGCAAAUUAGUCAUCGUCUAUAUGUAAUUUGAGCAACAAAAACAACACACACACACACACUUAAAAGAUUGUAUGGAUUGUAGGGUUUGCAUCAGUUGAUAUAUUCAUAUUUAUCGAAAGUUAAUCUGAGGAUAUUACUAUUUUGCUGACUUUCGAUAAUUGGUAUACAGAGCUUUGAUUCAAAACUACAACCAAUUAGCUACCAACAUUGAUUGAAGCAUAACUACAAAAACAAAAACAUACAAAACAUGCUGCUAUGGAUGUAACCUUUAUUAUUAAUUAGGCUUCGAGGAUGAUUGAUAAAUAAAACAUAUAAAAAUAUGGCAAAUUUGUAUUAUUUGUUCAAAAACAA